AAAAGGCGGGAAGGGCAAGGAGGGGGGGAAGGGUGGCUUUGAGGUGAGGGGUUGGGGAAGGGGGUUUAUCUGUGAGGGAAAACUAAGCCGGGGGUCCAAGGAAAGCCCACGUGCUGUAGGUUUUUUUUUUAAUGUGGGAAAUGUGAGGAAGAAACAGGAGGAAAAGACGCCAGGAAGAGCCUGAGGAAGAGGAGAAGGGAGGAAGGUCGCCUUUCUGAGGGGUUUUCUUAGAGGGGGGGCAGGUGGAGGUCGAGGUCCACAGGAAAAGCGAAAAGGGGGGAAAAGGCGGCGAGGAGCAUCCCCUGAGGGGAAGAGAAGAGAAGCAUCCCCUGAGGGGAAGCCUCUUCGUUUAUUUAGACGAGGCGAGAGAAGCGGGGCCUCAGGAGGGAAAGGGAAAGGGCAGGAGGAGGGAGAGAAGGCUCGGGGAGAAAGCGCAGACCCGCCGUAAAUAAGACGGGUGCUUGUUUGUUUGUAAAGCGGGGGGGAGAUAAUUAGUUUAUUCCCAGUUCUGGAGGCCCUUCCGACGGAAGACGAAGGGCUAAAGAAGACCCGGGCCCUGAGAGAAGGCAGAGCAAGGCGCUCAGGGCUCAGCCAGCCCGGACCAAGGAAGCCGUGGCCUCCCCCCCAAGCCAGCCCUCCGAGGGGGGUAAAAACCUUGGGGAAGAAAGGGAGGAGGCCAUGCGGAGGGGCCGAGGAAGGGGAUAGGAGAGGGAAGAAAGGCGGGAGAAAGAAAGUUAGUGGAAGGGAAGAGAGCUUUAAAAUAAAGGUCGGCACUCUGGAAGGUGGAAGGGGAGUUUAUAAGAAGGAAAUGGGGAGGGAGGCCUAGGGAAGGGCCGAAGGGGGAAGCCACAAGCCGGAUGGUCGGCAAGGCAGGUGGUGUGUGAACAGUUUGAUUCCAGUGCCCUCUUGUCUACAGAAGUUGCAGAUAGACGUGGGAAAGAAAAUAGCUCUCUACUCAGUGGAUAUAAAGUUACUUAUUUAGGUUAUUACAAGAACGGCUGGCAUUUCUUCUUCAAAGGAAUUGGACUACGUCUCAGGAGUAGGCAGCAACGUGUAAACAGAGCUUUGCAGAGCAUCAGCAGGAAUAUGAGCUGUAUAAAUCCCGAACUACAGUAACAAGUUUGGUGAGUCCUGUGGUUUCAUUGCUAAGAUGAUCCACUAUGAUUCUUCCCUGCAUGAAAAAAACUCCACCUGCUGUGGUUCAGCUGCAUGGCAGUUCUGCAAUCGCCCUGGAAGGUUCCUUUGAUGGGAUUUUCUUCCUUCAGCUGAAAGUCUCAGAUUCAUGUCUUGGAAGUGCAGGACGUAUAUUUGAAAAACACUCAACCAAGGAUUGUGACAGACUUCCAGGGACAUGUGUCUCAUUAGAACAAUCCAUUUUUAAGUGUCCUUAUUCUGGGAGGAGUUCUUGUUUGUUUGCUUGUAGGAAAGCCCCCCCCCCCGUGGUGGGAAUCCCCAUGGCAACUGGGAGCAGCCCUGCUUGGAUGUCUGCUGCUGCCCCCCCCCAACUCCCUCAGGGAACAAAGGCAUAUGCCACUCCACCAGGAAACCAAUGGAUGUGCUUGUUGGGCUCCAGCUCCUCGAGGCUCCAGCUCCUCAUCCCCCAUGCCAUGCCUCUCAC